UAUGGGGUCAGAGAAUGAUCCAAAGGCACCAGUUCCCAUCUGAUUUUGAAAGCUUAGUAGAGUCAGCCCUGGUUAGUAUUUAGGUGGGAUACUGCCAGUGAAUACCAGAUGUUGCCAGCU
rnacentral:rRNA from 11 species